rnacentral:rRNA from 1 species
GUGCCAGCCGCCGCGGUAAUACCGGCAGCCCAAGUGAUGGCCGAUCUUAUUGGGCCUAAAGCGUCCGUAGCUGGCUGCGCAAGUCCGUCGGGAAAUCGACGCGCUCAACGCGUCGGCGUCCAGCGGAAACUGUUCGGCUUGGGGCCGGAAGACCUGAGGGGUACGUCCGGGGUAGGAGUGAAAUCCUGUAAUCCUGGACGGACCACCAAUGGGGAAACCACCUCAGGAGAACGGAUCCGACAGUGAGGGACGAAAGCCAGGGUCUCGAACCGGAUUAGAAACCCGAGUAGUCC